rnacentral:rRNA from 1 species
AUUGAACGCUGGCGGCAGGCUUAACACAUGCAAGUCGAACGAUGAAACCUAGCUUGCUAGGUGGAUUAGUGGCGGACGGGUGAGUACAACUUAGGAAUCUACCUAUUAGCGGGGGAUAGCUCGGGGAAACUCGAAUUAAUACCGCAUACACCUUACGAGGGAAAGGGGCCUGACCACUAAAUUUAAUUUAUAGUGUAUUUUAUUUACAAUAAUAUAAUUAAGUUAAAUUUAGUGGUCAGGUCUCACUAAUAGAUGAGUCUAAGCAAGAUUAGCUAGUUGGUGGGGUAAAAGCCUACCAAGGCGACGAUCUUUAGCUGGUCUGAGAGGAUGAUCAGCCACACUGGGACUGAGACACGGCCCAGACUCCUACGGGAGGCAGCAGUGGGGAAUAUUGGACAAUGGGGGCAACCCUGAUCCAGCCAUGCCGCGUGUGUGAAGAAGGCCUUUUGGUUGUAAAGCACUUUAAGCAGUGAGGAAAAGCUAUAUGCUAAUACCAUAUAGCCCUGACGUUAACUGCAGAAUAAGCACCGGCUAACUCUGUGCCAGCAGCCGCGGUAAUACAGAGGGUGCAAGCGUUAAUCGGAAUUACUGGGCGUAAAGCGAACGUAGGUGGUCAAUUAAGUCAGAUGUGAAAUCCCUGAGCUCAACUUAACUGCGUCUGAUACUGAUAGACUAGAGUAGGUGAGAGGAGAGUAGAAUUCCAGGUGUAGCGGUGAAAUGCGUAGAUAUCUGGAGGAAUACCGAUGGCGAAGCAGCUCUCUGGCAUCAUACUGACACUGAGGUUCGAAAGCGUGGGUAGCAAACGGG